rnacentral:rRNA from 1 species
GCAUAACGCGAAGAACCUUACCAAGUCUUGACAUCCCUCUGACCGGACAGUAAUGUGUCCUUCCCUUCGGGGCAGAGGAGACAGGUGGUGCAUGGUUGUCGUCAGCUCGUGUCGUGAGAUGUUGGGUUAAGUCCCGCAACGAGCGCAACCCUUAUCCUUAGUUGCCAGCACAUAAUGGUGGGCACUCUAAGGAGACUGCCGAUGAUAAAUCGGAGGAAGGUGGGGAUGACGUCAAAUCAUCAUGCCCCUUAUAUCUUGGGCUACACACGUGCUACAAUGGUCGGUACAACGGGGAGCGAAGGAGUGAUCCGGAGCAAAUCCCAAUAAACCGAUCCCAGUUCGGAUUGUAGGCUGCAACUCGCCUACAUGAAGUCGGAGUUGCUAGUAAUCGCGAAUCAGAACGUCGCGGUGAAUGCGUUCCCGGGUCUUGUACACACCG